rnacentral:rRNA from 1 species
UCAAGCCUACGGGGGGCAGCAGUAGGGAAUUUUCGUCAAUGGGCGCAAGCCUGAACGAGCAAUGCCGCGUGAACGAGGAAGGUCUUCGGAUCGUAAAGUUCUGUUGAAGGGGAAAAAGAGCGGAGAGAGGAAAUGGUCUCCGAUUGAUAUUACCCUUCGAGGAAGUCACGGCUAACUACGUGCCAGCAGCCGCGGUAAUACGUAUGGAGCAAGCGUUAUCCGGAUUUACUGGGUGUAAAGGGAGCGCAGACGGCAAGGCAAGUCUGAUGUGAAAGUCCGAGGCUCAACCUCGGGACUGCAUUGGA